rnacentral:rRNA from 1 species
AUUGAACGCUGGCGGCAGGCCUAACACAUGCAAGUCGAGCGGAUGAAGGGAGCUUGCUCCUGGAUUCAGCGGCGGACGGGUGAGUAAUGCCUAGGAAUCUGCCUGGUAGUGGGGGAUAACGUCCGGAAACGGGCGCUAAUACCGCAUACGUCCUGAGGGAGAAAGUGGGGGAUCUUCGGACCUCACGCUAUCAGAUGAGCCUAGGUCGGAUUAGCUAGUUGGUGGGGUAAAGGCCUACCAAGGCGACGAUCCGUAACUGGUCUGAGAGGAUGAUCAGUCACACUGGAACUGAGACACGGUCCAGACUCCUACGGGAGGCAGCAGUGGGGAAUAUUGGACAAUGGGCGAAAGCCUGAUCCAGCCAUACCGCGUGUGUGAAGAAGGUCUUCGGGUUGUAAAGCACUUUAGGUUUGGAAGAAAGGCAGUAGGUUAAUACCUUGCUGUUUUGACGGUACCAAAAGAAUAAGCACCGGCUAACUUCGUG